AAAAAAAUCCCCUCCUUUUUAAACCCUUCGUCACCAAGACACGGACCGACACCGCACCAACCCCUCCUCUCUCUCGCUCGCUGUAGUCGGGAGAGAAGCAUGCAGCGGCAGUCGCUCGGGUCGCCGGGCGCGAAGCUCCAGAUGAGCGGAGCCGCCGGCGGAGGGGACAAGGAGGAGAGGCGAAGGAGCGCUGGUGGAGCGGCGGCGGUGACGGUGCCGGAGGAGGAGCAGAUCAAGGCCG
rnacentral:lncRNA from 1 species